AAGGUUCUGCCUUCCAGAGUUCACACCAUCUCACACUUCAUUGUUUCUCCCUUCCUCACAGCCAACAUCUCUUCCGGGUGGUAGGUUUAAGUCAGUCUCCGGUCGCCGUUUUUGCAAGUCUUAGAGACUGGCCCUUUUAAAAGAGGAUUCCUGACAUUUGCAUCUUGUGUCAGAACACAUGCAUUUGCAUACGUUGGAGAACCUUGAGGCUCCAGACAGCCUGAAGUUAGAAAGUGCUCAGAAGAGCAAGGCAAGCCUCCCCCAGGAGGGUAGGAAGUGGUAGGCACUUACAGUUAGUGCCAGCCAACUCCUUAAUGUCCCAGCCAAAUUCCUGGGAUGGCCAGUCCCAGGAAACCACAUGUUUUUAUGCUCAAGCUUGUAAAACAUUGUCGUAAGUAAAUCAAAUUUUUGUCCUGCCCUCUCUGCUUACCAGACCAAGAGCAGUGAUUAUGAAUGGCAAGUGGCAAGAAACGGGGUGGAGAAAAACAUCACCAGUGAAGACGGAAAUGUGUCUGAGAGGAUGAGGCCCAGAUCCCCUAGGUCCUGGCCUGGCUGACCAGCCCAGUAGCAUCUCUCUCAAUUGGAUGGUGAUCCCCAAAAAGAUAUGUCCACACCUAACAACCGGACCCUCUGAAUGUGACCUCAUUUGGAAAAAGGGUCUUUGCAGAUGCCAUUAAGUUAAAGAUCUUGUGAUGAGGAGAUCAUCCUAGAUUACCCAGGCCUAUCAGCAUCUCCUUGGACACUCCACAUCCCAUGAACCACAUCCAAAAGCGAUGGUCCUUGGUGUGCCACUUCCUGUUGAAGCUGCCUGUCUACCAGAAUUAGCCUUUUCAAAGGCAAGGCCCUGUCGGGGAAGGUGACGGGGAGCUGUCCAACCAAGACUCUGUGAAGGAGCUGAACAAACAGAAAAUCACUCUGCAAGACUCAUAGGAAUGACUCCUUAGGAGUCAUUCUCUCUGAUAGACGGCAACAAAAACAAAGGUGAUAUUGCCUCAUCAUCUUUCUUAAAGGUAGGUGUUUAACAUUUUUAAAAUCCAUGGAAGUGGACUGGGUUCGGUGGCUCAUGCCUGUAAUCCUAGCACAUUUGGAGAACAAGGAGGGCAAAUCGCUUGAGCCCAGGAAUUUGAGACCAGCCUGGGCAACAUGGCAAAACCCUGUUUCUACAAAAAAAAAAAAAAAAAAAAAAUUAGCCAGGAAGCGCACGCCUGUUGUCCCAGCUACUCAGGAGGCUGAGAUGGGAGGAUGACUUGGGCCGGGAGUUCGAGGCUACAGUGGGCCACAAUUGCACCACUGAGCUCCAACCUAGGUGACAGAGCAAGACCCUAUCUCAAAACAAAACAUACAAAACAAAACAUGGAACUAGACAAGCUCUUGCCUGAUAUCUACUUAGGAUCUCUCAGGUUUCUCCUGUUAAAAAAUACAAAUAACCCAAAAGCCACUAGACUUGAGCAAAGACAAGGAAGCGUGUGUCUAGCACAUGGCCAGCAUGCAUGGGCAUAACUGUAGUUAGAUAUUAAAACCCGAAGGCUGGUGGAAACAGUCAGCAGCCCGGUCAGUGCCCUCCCUUAUCAGAGUGAGUGUGUCUUUGAUCCCAAUGAGCCUCAGAAGCUUGAGCAGUAUAUUAGUCAUCAUUUCUACUCUAAUUAGAAAAGAUUUCUUUGUUCCCAGCCCAAGUUCAAUCAGCAUUUCUGUUAAACAGUAAAAAAAAAAAAAAUGAAGUUGGAAAAACAUUCGAGUCAUUUGGCCCAAAAGGUUUAUUUUAAAGAUGAAGAGAUGAAGUCACUUGUUCAAGACUGCACAGCUGGUUAUCAGAGGACUUGAGGGCAGAACUCAUGUCACUCCUCACUCAUAGUUCCAGGUUCUUAGAAACAAGCACUUUUCAGAAAGUGCUCAGGCCCUCACCCCAAACCUCACUGCUCCUGGAUAACCCUGCACGUGUCGAAGCUGUAGAUGUCUAAGAAAUCAAGGGCACUGGCUUUUCUGCAUUCUCCAGGGAGAAAGUUCCAAGGCACUGGGGAGCCAGGGCAGCGGGGUUUUCAAAGGCCUGCAGCGGGAGCCCUGCUCACAGGGAUGCCAUCCAGAUGUCCUCAUGUCCCCUCUGCACAUGAAAGCCUCACACUGCUCCCGUCCCCUCCAGUCCCCCCUGCCUCCCACAGCAGCAGAACUGCACGAGGCUUCCCCCAGCCCCGGGGCACACAUUCAAAACACCUAGGAACGCCGCUGGGAACUCCCGCCUGAAAGGACAGGCCGCCGGCUGCAGGGCGCUGAGAUGGAUGCAGGGACCUGCCCUUUUCCUCCGUCCGCUGGUUGCCUCCACUGGUCAUUUGCUGUGGCAGGGCAGAAGAAAACAACGAAAUCGCAGGGCACACAGAAGUCAAACUGACACAUAACCACACUCAGAGGAGAGGACCCAACUGCUAAGCAGCUUGAAUGGGAAAGUGAGAAAAGCAUGGGGUUUUCACAUAGCAGGUGGAGUUCGAUGCAAACCAUCCGGAGCGUCUUGCUAAUCAUUAGCGAUGGCACCUUUGCUCGGUUUCAAGGAGUGCAGUUUCAGGGGCAGUGUUCCCCCUUGAGAAAGAGGCGGUAAAAACAAUAUACAUUUGUUUAAGCUUAGGAUGUGAAACACACUGAUGUCAUGUCUCCUUGGCUUUCCAGGUGAAGGAUCGCGGUGUCACCUUUAGGAUCCCUCGCCUGAAGUCAGGACUCACCUGAGCAGAAUGAUGGCUUCUCAGUGAAUCCCACUUCCCACUUGCAUUUCCAGAGACAAGUCUGGUUCCUCUAGAUUCACACACACAUAAAGAAAUAGUUAUCCUUCUCCUUGCCCCUGAUCUCCCACUGAACAAUGCCUGGGAUAUGUGGGUUUUGGAGUGUCUAUCAGGAAGGAUGUGUGGAGGAUUUCUCGACCCCUAUUAUUUUCCUUUCUGUGUACAAGGCAUGUGUCGGUUGCUACCUGAGCAGAGGUGGCAGCUCCAUAUAGGCUGGCUAAGAGAAGAAAACUGUUCUCACUCAGAUUCUAUAAAUUACUCGCAUUCUCACUUUAAUAUCAAGUAUGAUAUAUAUUAGAGUGCAUGGUUUUGGCUAGAAUCAAUUUGGAAGGCUGUCAAAUAAAACACAAAAUGGGAAAAUAAAUCCAAAGGAAAAUUGAUGACAUGAUUUUACUCCCAUUACAUUCCACUUAACAAAUGCAUAUGUUUUACAAUAUCUUUAAUAAUAAUUAUUAAACAUAGUAAAAUACUUCCAAACUUGGCUCAUUGCAUAAUUGUACUUCGAGUGAAAAAAAAAUUAUCUGAAGUCUUGUCAAUAUGCCACUUCCUCCUCCCCCAGCUUUUAACAGAAGCAGCCUCCAGUGGAAUAAUCCAAGCUGUGUUCAAGAAGUUGGCAAGUAGGUCCAAUUAAAUGUGGUUUUACUGUAUUCUGGCGUUUGCAUAUCUAGUUUGCCAAGAAGUAAUCUUUCACAAAAAAAAAAAAAAGAAAGAAAGAAAAAGAAAAAGAAAAAAAAUCUGUACUGGCCCAGACACAGCCUGGAUGGUGCAAUGCUUCACAUAACUUUACCCCAUGACUAAGAUAAUCGUUUUUUCUUAAAUAGCUGUGGAAAACGUAUCAUACAUCCAUCAUACUCCUAUAUGAAUCACAGAACACCAUCCUUUAUGGAGCUUCUUACAUUUAUGCAUGACAAACUGAAAUUCAUCUUCAUAGCUCUGUUUAUUUUAAUUAUUAAACUCAAAAGGGGUUAGCUUUUAGCCACCUGAACUUGAUGUAUUUAUUCAGGUGUACUCCAGUUGGAUUAUCUGAACGAGGCUAUAAAUGAUCCUAUUGACUAUUAAAGACCGACCUGUCAAAGCUGCAGUCAUACACAUUCACAACCCUGGCUACCUGAAACUCAGAGGAUAAAAUGCUUCUCUAAGCUUUGCAAAUGAAAUCCCAGGCAGUUCUUUCCUGAUGUUUUACACACCCUUGAUCCCUUAAGGAGGAGCUGACUCGCGUAGCCCCUUCCAGCUAACCACGGCUCUACAUGAACGAUCAGCCGUAUCCAAAGUCCAGAUGGAAAGCUGUCAACAAAGAGACUCCUUCCACUCUGCCUACUACAUGAUUCAUCCCUGGCGUGAAGACAGGCCCGGAGAUGGCCCCACCACCCCGACUCCCAUAGGUGAGCCAGGAGAGAAGCACAGGUGCCCACUCCCCAAGUCAGCAGGGAGGAAUCAGGUCAGAAAGUGCUGGAAAACACACAACCUGGCCUUUGUUAGAAACCAUCAUGAGCUCAUUAAAAACACAUGCAGAAAUGGUUAAACAAAAUUCUCUAAAUCUUUUACAAAAUUGCCAGUCUAUUAGAAGGACUGAGCUCACAGCAAACUCUCCCUUCCAAUGUGUGCAAUGGAGCAGCUAAUGUCCUUUGGACUCUUGUCUAUGGCAUCAAGCAGAGGGAAGCUUGGGGCGGGGGGUUGUUUGUUUUUGGUUCUUGUUGUUGUUUUUUAACUUUUUUUAGAGACCAAACUGUGAAAUAUAUCAACCAAAAGAAUUAUUUCACUAAACAUGAAUUAUUAUAGUCAUUGCCUUAAAAAACUUACAAAAAUUACAAAGUAAAAACGGAGAUUUGGGUCAUUAUAGCAAGGGGAGAAAGAAGGAAAAAAAUAGAUGACUGUGGCUUGAAUGCUUUUGUGAGGUGGCAUUGCAUCAAAGAGCAAAGUGGACACGCUGAAUGGGAAUUCUGAAGGCAUCCAAUACGCGGCCCUGUUACGUGAAAAAGUUGGAUCGUAAGUUUGACCCGUGCAAUAUUUACCCAAAGUUUUCUUGUAAGCAGCAUUGCACAUAGCAGCAUUGCAUUCCAUUGCACUGUGGCCUUUCACCAGGUGCCUUUUUCUCCAAAUGGAUUUAUUCGCUGUGAUACAGUAUAGCCAUAGAUUUGCAUUACACCACAACGUGGGCUGCACCUGCACAUAAAAGAGCACAUAGAUGAGGCAAGGCCUGAGAUUGAGAUGCUCUGAGGUGGGCUCUGGCAUGGGCCACCUUCUCCUGGUGAGAGUGGAGUAAAUCAUUUAAAUCUCCGGGUAAAUCAUUUUAAUAUGUGUGCCUCCCAGGGGAGCUGUGCUGGUUUGUUAUUAUAUAUAUUAAUCAUACUUUUAAAAAUACUUAUGAUACAAGAGUAAACAUGAACCAACGCUUUCAGUCUUGAUUUCUUCAGCCUGAAGAGAAAAAAUAUCUGUAUCCAACUUAGCCUUUGGACUAGUUAAUCAGAUAGAAAUUUGAAAGGGCUUUGAGAGAUUUGGGAUUUGAGAAAAGAAUCACAAGUACAAUGUAAGUGAUAUGAGAUGUGUAUAGCUAAACACGUACACACCUGCAAAACCCACCUGAGGAUGCGGAAUCUUUUUCAUUACUAUGGUAUUUUAGUUUUCACAUUUCAUGCAGAAACUGCUUUCCUGCUUAAUACUGAAAUAAACUUGAAACUAUCAGUGCUUGGUGAAUUUAAAUCACAAAAACCCACAUUGAAAAAAGUCUACCUUGGUAGGAAGGCUUUAGGAUAAGGAAAAAUUUCGUCUUAGUGCAAAAAAAAAUUAUUAUUGUAAUAGUGAGGUCACCUCAAAUUUGCAUAGCAUCUUUCCUCUGAAAGCUUAAUGCUUUUGCAUAUUCAUUUUCAUGUUAUUCUAAAGAAAAAGGUGACACGGGUAUGAAUAUGCUGGUCUUACAAAUGGAGAAAUGAAGGUAUCAGGGUGGGUUUCCUCGGGUGUUUCAUUGAUAGAUCUUCCCCAACUUUCUCUUGAGCCUUCUUUCCAGUAGAUGAUGCUGAGAGGAGGUGAGAAACAUUCCAAGAAACCAAGGCCAAUUUUUAGAUUAAGUGGAAAAAUAUUCAAUUCUCCCAUUUCAGCAGCAAACAAGUUUUGAGGAUCCCGUUUGGCUGCCGCCCUCGGUCCAUGUUUCAUCUCUCCCUUCUGCACGUCCAGCAACAGCUCUGACAACCCUGCAGUGACUAGCUGCAAGGAGCAGUGCCUCGUUGUGGUUGAACAAAUAACAUGUUUUGGAAACCCAAGCAACCCUUUCGUAGCUGGAAGCAGAGAGGGAGAGUGUGUUGGUCAGGAAGAUCCUGACAGGGUUUUAGCUCUUGGUGAGCUGGAAGGAGAUGGGCCAAAACAUGUCCUCUUUGACACCAUCAGAGAACGUUCUGCUGUAUGUAUUUUUUAAAUAGU
rnacentral:lncRNA from 1 species